rnacentral:rRNA from 1 species
GCUGGCGGCAUGCCUAACACAUGCAAGUCGAACGCUAUCUUUGAUAGAGUGGCGCACGGGUGAGUAACGCGUGGGAACCUGCCUUUCUCUGCGGGACAACGGUUGGAAACGACCGCUAAUACCGCAUACGCCCUACGGGGGAAAGGUCAGCCGGAGAAAGAGGGGCCCGCGUUCGAUUAGCUUGUUGGUGGGGUAAUGGCCUACCAAGGCGACGAUCGAUAGCUGGUCUGAGAGGAUGAUCAGCCACACUGGGACUGAGACACGGCCCAGACUCCUACGGGAGGCAGCAGUGGGGAAUAUUGGACAAUGGGGGCAACCCUGAUCCAGCAAUGCCGCGUGUGUGAUGAAGGCCUUAGGGUUGUAAAGCACUUUCACUGGUGAAGAUGAUGACGGUAGCCAGAGAAGAAGCCCCGGCUAACUUCGUGCCAGCAGCCGCGGUAAUACGAAGGGGGCGAGCGUUGUUCGGAAUUACUGGGCGUAAAGGGCGCGUAGGCGGUCCUUUAAGUUAGGCGUGAAAGCCCCGGGCUCAACCUGGGAACUGCGCUUAAGACUGGAGGACUAGAAAACGGAAGAGGGUAGUGGAAAUCCCAGUGUAGAGGUGAAAUUCGUAGAUAUUGGGAAGAACACCAGUGGCGAAAGCGGCUACCUGGUCCGAU